GUAGUCCACGCCGUAAACGAUGUUCACUCGCUGCUUGCGAUAUACCGUAAGUGGCCAAGCGAAAGCAUUAAGUGAACCACCUGGGGAGUACGUCGGCAACGGUGAAACUCAAAGGAAUUGACGGGGGCCCGCACAAGCGGAGGAACAUGUGGUUUAAUUCGAUGAUACGCGAGGAACCUUACCUGGGCUUAAAUGUAGAUUGCAUGAUGUGGAAACACACUUUACUUCGGUACCGUCUACAAGGUGCUGCAUGGUUGUCGUCAGCUCGUGCCGUGAGGUGUCGGGUUAAGUCCCAUAACGAGCGCAACCCCUACCGUUAGUUGCCAUCAGGUCAAGCUGGGGACUCUAGCGGGACUGCCACCGUAAGGUGAGAGGAAGGUGGGGAUGACGUCAAAUCAGCACGGCCCUUAUGCCCAGGGCUACACACGUGUUACAAUGGCAGGUACAAAGGGCAGCCACACCGCGAGGUGGAGCCAAUCCCAAAAGCCUGUCCCAGUUCGGAUCGGGGCCUGCAACUCGGCCCCGUGAAGUUGGAUUCGCUAGUAAUCGCGUAUCAGCAACGACGCGGUGAAUACGUUCCCGGGCCUUGUACACACCGCCCGUCAAACCAUGGAAGCUGGGGGGACCUGAAGUCUGUCACCGCGAGGAGCGGCCUAGGGUAAAACCGGUAACUGGGGUU
rnacentral:rRNA from 1 species